CGAAGUGAAAUUAUUCAUGUGAAAGAACUGACUCCCUUACAAUUCUAAUGGAUAUUACAAAUAUUAGUUAGCUGCUAGAGUAGUCUAAAUAAAAUUGCUUUGCUUUUUUUUCUCCUUUAAUAAUUCUGUUUUUGUGUACAAUGUUUCUUUGUUUAGUUAUUUUGUUUUCUAUUUCACAAUUUGUAUCUAGUAUUUUUAUAAUGGUGUAGGGACCUAUAUAGAAUGGGUCUAAUUUUUUUCUAUUUUCGUUUUUUAAAUAUACUAUAUCUCCUAUGUUGAUUAUUAAUGGGUUUGUUGGAAUGUGUAUAAAUUCUUGUCUUGAUUGAUUAUCCUUUUCUAAUCUUUGUUUCGCUAUUGCGUUUGAUUUUUCUAACUUGUAUUUUAGUUCUGUGCUAUAUAAGUCUAAAUUGUACAUUGGUGUUAUUGUUGUUGGGUAAUUUUCUUGUGGUAAUUUUGCUUUGUUGCCAAAAAUUAGUUCAUAUGGAGUGAAUUUAUGUUCUGAGUGUGGGGUAGUGUUAUAAGUAAAUGCGUAAUAUGGUAUCCAUUCGUCCCAAUCGGAAUGGUGUUCAUUUACGAAUGAUCUAUGAUUUCUCUCCAAUGAUCCGAUUGUUUGUCGGUGGUAUGCUGUAGCGAAUGUUUGUUUUAUUUGCAGGUAUUUACAAAUCUGUUCAAGUACUUCGUUUUAAUAUUCGGUUCCUUGAUCUGAUUUGAGUUCCAGAAAUUUUCCGUAUAUUAAUAUGAAUUUCUCUACUAGAUUUUUUGCUAUUAUGUUUGCUUCUUUGGUUGGUGUGGGUAUUACUACGAUGUAUUUAGUUAAUAGACCUUUCUCGUCAGACCUUACCCCCAUUUUUUUUAUUUUUAAUCGAAAGAUCUCGUAUUUCUAAGAGCAUUACCGCUGCAGUAAGAUUUUUAGCAUCUAUCCUGAUUUUUUUAUGAUUUUUUAAAUAUUUGAAAUUGCAAGAAUGUUGAAUAUUUUUUUCACCAAAUCAAGAAUGAUGAGACACCAAAUAACCGUUUCGGCAACACUGUUUUACAAUUUUAUUCUUGCGUUAUCGACAACACUGCAAAUGAAGUGGUUAGUAUCGAUAUCACGUUCAUUAUCGAUUGUAAACAAAACUAAGUGAACUCGUGAGCUGUCAAACUGAAGAAAACAAAAAAAUAUCUGAAAAACGUCGCGAAAAUUUAAAAUAAAAUCUCAAACGAAAUUGAAUAAAACGGUUCAAUUACCUUGCACCAGGUGAUCGGUAAAUGGUGAUUUUUUUCUCUAGUCGUACUGACUGAUUCCCCAAACGAGGUAAUAAUUAUAUCGCCAUCAGCAAGAUUUCUUGAACAGUUUACACAGUCAGUUAAAUACUGAUCGCUAGAUACAAUAGUAAAACAGAAUAACAGAAAGCACUGUGUUCUGGAGUGCAAGGCAAUAACACAUCAGAUGUUGCGUUUUACGAAACGACCAAAACUUUUCAACAGCAUCGCGUACAAAUCACAUCGUGCGGAAAAUCAACAGCUUCUUGUAGAUUACAAUCAGUAACUAUUACAUCUCAAAGUAGUAGAGGCACUUCGUGAAGACUACUGGCGGUAGCCUUAACAGCCACUUCGCUUCAAAGAUAUUUAAAAUCAUUGGUGAAAGCUACACAGUAUUUGUGCUCUGUGUUUAAUUGCAAGUCUACGAGUGCUGCAGAAUUACAAUUCAUUUUCGUACCAUCGGAUGUCAGAAAGCGCGAACAUUGGGUUAAAUUGAUGAGGCCAACAACGCUCGCCAAGCAAAUGUAUUGCUGCGAACUACAUUUUGAUAUUGAAAAUGAUUGCAUCGAUUACAAUGAUUUCAAAGCACCUCGGGAAGGUUUUCGGCGGUACAUGAAACUUAAAAAAGACGUACUACCACACAAGAACUUACCAAGUUCUGUUGAAGCUGAAUCAUUAGAGCUUAAUAAUUCCAAUAAACUGUUCGUCACGCCCUUAGUGCAGCGUUCAUCAGAGAGUUUUCCGGACCAACCAAUAGCAGAUCCACUUGGUGAAACAGGUUAUAACUUCAGUUCAAAACUGUUAUGUAUUGCAAUAUACUGUGUUUGCACCAAAACUGUACAAAUCGAAGUAUUGAUAAUACACACCUUAGCACAUUCACUGAUAGAGUUCCACAUUCUGAAGAGGAAGUUCUCUCUAAAUCUACUCUAGGACUCUCUACCCACGAUGAUGCUAGCAAUAUUGAUGCAAGAACAAAAACGGUAGACCAAAUUUUAUCGACGUCAGAUUCUGAAGAGAAAGUUCUCAUAAUACAUACUCUAGGGCUCUCUAGCAACGAUGCGAUUCCGGGUUGUUCUUAUGAAUAUGACAAUAUUACUAGCAAUAUUGGUGAAUCAUCACUUAACCAUGCAUUGCCGAUUAUUCACUGAUUAAUCUUUACUACCUUUGAAUAUUGAAACCACAUGCCACAG